UUACCGAGUUUCUAAAACUCCAACCCUUUGUGAACUUACCGCUGUUUCCUCGGCGUACUGCUAAGGCCUACCUACUGGGUACCCCGCAGGUCAUCUUGCGGGGUGCCUUGCUAGGGAGGCGCCCGCACAGCGAAUCUACCCUGCGUAGACUAGCCUGGGUGCCGACCAAGGCCGGCUGCAGCGCCGAAAGGACUGCUACAAACUCUUUUUAUCCAACUCUACGUAGAACCUACUCGAACGCUUUUCCUUUCCUGUACUUGCUUUCUCUCAACCAUAGAAUGUCUUUCCCGGUUGGAAUUAUCGCUCGCGUAAAAUGCUUUCUUUCCCUGUUUUCCCCUUCGAAGGUGUUUCCCGGUUGGAAUUAUCGCUCCCCGUGAUAUGUUUCUUUCGUGCUUCCUUUCCUUCGAAUGUGUUUCCCGGUUGGAAUUUUUUGCUCGAAUAAAUAAUUUCUUUAUGAUUGAAAGUCUUUCCCGGUUGGAAUUAUUCGUUCGAAAUUCUAUUUUAGAGUCUGAGGGCCUCAUAAACAAACCUAAAAAAACAAUCAAAACUUUCAACAACGGAUCUCUUGGUUCUGGCAUCGAUGAAGAACGCAGCGAAAUGCGAUAAGUAAUGUGAAUUGCAGAAUUCAGUGAAUCAUCGAAUCUUUGAACGCACAUUGCGCCCAUUAGUAUUCUAGUGGGCAUGCCUAUUCGAGCGUCAUUUCGACCCUUAAGCCUUGUUGCUUAGCGUUGGGAUUCUACCGCCUAUGCGGUAGUUCCUUAAAAUCAGUGGCGGAGUUAUAGCACACUCUAAGCGUAGUAGUUCAUGCCUCGCUUCCAGAGUGGCCGUGGCUUCCUGCCGUAAAACCCCCCUAUACUUCUAGUGGUUGACCUCGGAUUAGGUAGGAAUACCCGCUGAACUUAAGCAUAUCAAUAAGCGGAGGAAAAGAAACCAACAGGGAUUGCCCUAGUAACGGCGAGUGAAGCGGCAACAGCUCAAAUUUGAAAUCUGGCCCUCGCGGUCCGAGUUGUAAUUUGCAGAGGAUGCUUUUGGCGCGGUGCCUUCCGAGUUCCCUGGAACGGGACGCCAGAGAGGGUGAGAGCCCCGUACGGUUGGACACCUACCCUAUAUAUAGCUCCUUCGACGAGUCGAGUAGUUUGGGAAUGCUGCUCUAAAUGGGAGGUAAAUUUCUUCUAAAGCUAAAUACCGGCCAGAGACCGAUAGCGCACAAGUAGAGUGAUCGAAAGAUGAAAAGCACUUUGAAAAGAGGGUUAAAUAGCACGUGAAAUUGUUGAAAGGGAAGCGUUUGCGACCAGACCUUCUCCAGGCGGAUCAUCCGGCUCUCUCGCCGGUGCACUUCGCCUGGUUUAGGCCAGCAUCGGUUUCCUUAGGGGGAUAAAGGCCUGGGGAACGUAGCUCUCUAGGGAGUGUUAUAGCCCCUCGCGUAAUACCCUUCAGGGGACCGAGGACCGCGCU
rnacentral:rRNA from 1 species